rnacentral:lncRNA from 1 species
AGUUGCAUUACCCUUUUAUACCAUCUUUUGUAUUUUGAUGGUUAUAAAUGUUUAAAUGAAAGUAUAUGAAUGAUGUAAAAGGAUUUAUGGUUUAAUGUAAAAGCUUAUCUUUUGGAGGAAAUACAUUAUGUUUAUUUUGGGGAUGUUGUGAUGUAUAAAAGAAAUGAUGCAAAGAAUGUAAAAGAAUUCUAUUAAAGUUGAACGCAUAUAUGUGAUUUAAACUUAAUCAUAUUACUUGUAUGAUGUUUAGUUAGUACUUUCACUUUGGCUAUUGCUUGUGUAAUAUACCGAAAAUUCGGAGAAUAAAUAUCGAACUUUAGUCAAAUUGACCAAAGUGCGAGGACGGAACACUUCGGAAAGUCCGAAGGUGUUAGAAUGAUUAAAAGGGAGUUGUGGA